rnacentral:rRNA from 1 species
CCUACGGGUGGCAGCAGUGAGGAAUCUUGGUAAAUGGGCGAGAGCCUGAACCAGCCAAGUCGCGUGAGGGAGUACUGCCCUAUGGGUUGUAAACCUCUUUUGUCGGGGAGCAAAAGCCGGACGUGUCCGGCUGUGAGAGUACCCGAAGCAAAAGCAUCGGCUAACUCCGUGCAAGCAGCCGCGGUAAUACGGAGGAUGCGGGCGUUAUCGGGUUUUAUGGGGUUUAAGGGGGGCGCGGGCGGAGUUUUAAGUCAGCGGUCAAAUCGUGGGGCUCAACCCCAGCCGGCCGUUGAAACUGGGGAUCUUGAGUGUGCGAGAGGUAUGCGGAAUGCGUGGUGUAGCGGUGAAAUGCGUAGAUAUCACGCAGAACCCCGAUUGCGAAGGCAGCAUACCGGUGCACAACUGACGCUGAGGCACGAAAGCGUGGGGAUCGAACAGGAUUAGAUACCCCUGUAGUC